rnacentral:rRNA from 1 species
CCUACGGGGGGCUGCAGUAGGGAAUAUUGGACAAUGGGCGCAAGCCUGAUCCAGCCAUGCCGCGUGAGUGAAGAAGGCCCUCGGGUUGUAAAGCUCUUUUGUCCGGAAAGAAAAGCUUUGGGUUAAUACCCCGAAGUCCUGACGGUACCGGAAGAAUAAGCACCGGCUAACUUCGUGCCAGCAGCCGCGGUAAUACGAAGGGUGCAAGCGUUACUCGGAAUUACUGGGCGUAAAGCGUGCGUAGGUGGUUUGUUAAGUCUGAUGUGAAAGCCCUG